GACGAACGCUGGCGGCGUGCCUAAUACAUGCAAGUCGAGCGGACAGAAGGGAGCUUGCUCCCGGAAGUUAGCGGCGGACGGGUGAGUAACACGUAGGUAACCUGCCCCUUAGACUGGGAUAACUCCGGGAAACCGGAGCUAAUACGGGAUAAUAAAGAGAAUCACCUGAUUCUCUUUUGAAAGACGGUUUCGGCUGUCACUAAGGGAUGGGCCUGCGGCGCAUUAGCUAGUUGGUAAGGUAACGGCUUACCAAGGCGACGAUGCGUAGCCGACCUGAGAGGGUGAUCGGCCACACUGGGACUGAGACACGGCCCAGACUCCUACGGGAGGCAGCAGUAGGGAAUCUUCCGCAAUGGACGAAAGUCUGACGGAGCAACGCCGCGUGAGUGAGGAAGGCCUUCGGGUCGUAAAGCUCUGUUGUGAGGGAAGAACAAGUACCGGCGUAACUACCGGUACCUUGACGGUACCUCACCAGAAAGCCACGGCUAACUACGUGCCAGCAGCCGCGGUAACA
rnacentral:rRNA from 1 species